GCUUGCCUUCCCAAUAAACUCUCCCACCAACAUUUAAUAAAGACCCCAGAUUUACCAUCCUUAACUUCAUUUCUCCACCAAAAUUUGAACCCAAACUUUUGCUUUGGAAAGAAAUGGAAAUGUAGGAAGAAUCCAAACUCCAAAAAAAGGGAUUUUUGCGUUUUUGAAGAUCCAUCUCUUGCUCUCAAAAAUCAUCAUGUUUCUUCAUUAAACCUCUUGUAAACAACAAGCAUAUAACCAGGAACCCUACUCCGGCUGCCCCUCCUAAUAUAAUAGCCACUGUCUUUCCUGUAUUUUGCCCUGAUAAAGAUGAAGAUGAAGAAGAUGAUGAUGAUGAUGAUCUCCUGGGGACCCCAUUUGGGUAAUAACUGUAGCUAAUAAAGCACUUGUGCAGAUAGAUUUGUCCUGAAAUAGCGUUCCCACAUUCAACCUG
rnacentral:misc_RNA from 1 species